rnacentral:rRNA from 1 species
CCUACGGGGGGCUGCAGUGGGGAAUUUUGGACAAUGGGGGCAACCCUGAUCCAGCCAUGCCGCGUGCGGGAAGAAGGCCUUCGGGUUGUAAACCGCUUUUGUCAGGGAAGAAAUCUUCCGAGCUAAUACCUUGGGAGGAUGACGGUACCUGAAGAAUAAGCACCGGCUAACUACGUGCCAGCAGCCGCGGUACUACGUAGGGUGCAAGCGGUAAUCGGAAUUUGUGGGGGCGAAGCGUGAACAGAGGGUUGGAAUCCCCGGGCUUAACCUGGGAACUGCACUUGUGACUGUACGGCUGGAGUACGGCAGAGGGGGAUGGAAUUCCGCGGGUAGCAGUGAAAUGCGUAGAUAUGCGGAGGAACACCGAUGGCGAAGGCAGUCCCCUGGGCCUGUACUGACGCUCAUGCACGAAAGCGUGGGGAGCAAACAGGAUUAGAUACCCCUGUAGUC